UACGUAGGGGGCAAGCGUUGUCCGGAUUUAUUGGGCGUAAAGAGCUCGUAGGCGGUUUGUCGCGUCGGCCGUGAAAUCUCCACGCUUAACGUGGAGCGUGCGGUCGAUACGGGCAGACUUGAGUUCGGUAGGGGGAGACUGGAAUUCCUGGUGUAGCGGUGAAAUGCGCAGAGUAUCAGGAGGAACACCGGUGGCGAAGGCGGGUCUCUGGGCCGAUGACUGACGCUGAGGAGCGAAAGCGUGGGGAGCGAACAGGA
rnacentral:rRNA from 1 species